GAAUUUUAUAUAGAUUUGGUAGAUAAUUUAAUUUGAAAUUUAUUACAUUUAUAUUUUAUUGGGAGGAUGGUUAAAUUAAAUAAACUUUAAAAUAUAUGAACCAUUAAUGUAUGAGUUAGUGAGUAAAGAGUGAUUAGAUUAAGUUUAGAUAGAAUUAAUUACCUUAGGGAUAACAGCGUUAUAUUUUUAGAGAGAUCUUAUUAAUAAAAAUGAUUGC
rnacentral:rRNA from 1 species